rnacentral:piRNA from 1 species
UGGUGGCUAUGCAAAGCUAUGGAAGCCAAA